CCUUAUAACUACAUGUUUGAUAAGUACCUAACAAAAACCGUUUCCUGCGUUUUUCUGAACUAUCAAGAGUAAUAAUAUGAAAAUUAAAAAAAAAAAAACAAUAUAAUCGACAAAUUUUGACAAAAUCUCCACUCAAGUUGUCAAUUAGUGGACGAUUUCUGGUAGAAAAGUUGUUAGCAUACAGAAAAAUAAAAAUCAAAUUUCACGCAUCACAAUAAACCAACAAUUCAUUUCUAUGGUUUCGCUCAAAAUCU